rnacentral:lncRNA from 1 species
UUGAUGGAGGCUAAGCUAAAAAGUGGUACUCCUUUGAUUGUUGAUCGAUAUUCUUAUUCAGGGGUUGCCUAUUCAUCUGCCAAAGGUUUAGAUAUUGAAUGGUGUAAGUGAUGAGGCAAUCGAUAUCAAAUAUGACGUAACAAGAGUGUAAACCAUGAGGUGAGUUGAUUAAAGGACAGUUGAGACCUAGAAAGAAGAACAUUUCAGUUGAAUGACGUGAUGCCGCUAAAGUUUUGAAAAACAACAUGGUUAAUAAACAAUAGGUUGAUUGGUGGUGGUGCAGUCACCAUGCGUGACUUGCUUGAGUUGUUCCGCCCAAGGCUGUGAUGAGUUGAGUGAAAAAUGUCUCUUGAUGCGGCAAAAUCCGAAGACAGCAGGUGCGAGUUUCUCCACUUGCAACUUCUAUUGCAACCAUGGUCGUCUAAUAGACAAAUUUGCACCAAAAAGGUCGGUCAGGUCAAUAUCUGGCGGCAUAGCUACAAGCCGUAUGUCCUUGCGAUUUUUGUUUCAGUAUUCAUCAGUUUGAGUUUAUCGUGCAGGUACAUUACCUAAUUUCACGGGAAACUUAGCUUCAAUGGAUCAUUAGACACGUUACGUACAAUCUAGCGGUAAUUGCUACCGGACCCCGCCGCAACGCGGCGGGACUGUUUUCUAGUUAUUUACUAAAUUCAACCCUUUGGAAGUUUAGAGCUUUGCUAUUUUUUAAAUCCUUCAUUCAUGCACAUCUUUGUAUCAACGCAACUAAGGACUACCCUUCAACACAAUUUACACACACAAUUCAUAAGCACUAUUGUAAGAUACUUAUUGCAAGCAAGCAAUUCCACCAUAGCAUUGCCAUUUGAGAAUAAAACAAGUACAAUUGUAAAUAAUCAAAAAAAAAAAAAAAAAAAAAAACCACGCCUAAAAAUGUUGUGGAGCCGGUGAGUGAAAUAGUUGAACCAUACGUAGUGUGGUCCACUGCCUGGGCGUGGCCACCAUAGACAAAUCAACGGUGUGGCACCACUUUUGCAACUUUUGGGCGUGGAAGGGCGGGGACCAGUGGCGGACCAAAAACUUUUUUCAUGGGGGGGGGGGAUAGGGUGUUCAACGAAUCGAAUAAAGAAUGUUUGAAAUGAUCGAAUUGAAAUUUUUGAAUUUUUAUUAUUUUUACAUGAACUUGUAUUCGAUUAGAUUUGAUUUAUCCGAUUUGAGUUUGUUACGAAUUUUAUUCCCAAUUCAAAAUUCGAUUUCGAAUAAAUUUGGUUUAAUUCAAGUUCACCCUAAAAAAUACUAUUUACUUUUAUGUUUAAAACUACUAUUUUAGAGUUUUCCCCAAAUUUAGAAGGUUUUCUUUUCCAUACAUAUGUGUAUAUAUAUUGUUGUAUAUAUGAAUAUAGAAAAAUGUGUGUAUAACUUGAAUUCGAAUUUCAAAUCGAAUCGAAUUGAAAAUAAAAAGUUCCUAUUCCAUUUGAAUUUGAUUACUUGACUCGAAUUCGAGUCGAAUCAAACUCGAAUAUUUAAAAACCGAAUUUGAAGCUUGAUAAUCGAGUCGAAUUUUGAACUCUCGAAUGCGAAUCGAAUAAUGGACACCCCUAGGGGGAAACAGGAACAAUCGGGAGGUUUAACCAAACUUUUAUGUUGUGCGGUCAUAAUUUGUGUGUAAUAAUAACACUAAUCUUUUUUAGAAAGGGGGGGGGGGGGGUUCUCUCUUCAUUUGCAAUCUGGGUAUGCCCCUGUGAGACACACCGCGCCGCUGAGGCGUGAAGGAGAAGGCAUGGUUGUAACCAUAAUCGAAGAGGCGAAGGAAUCCAUUUGUAAUAUUUGAAUAUCUUAUAUCUUUCCUACAUUAUAGCACCUAUAGUAGCUAGAUUUAUAUGUUAAUAAGAAUAUUAAUAAACGUAUUGAAUGUGAAUGAACAUACUCAAAAUGUAAAUAUUAAUGUGACGCAACAUCAAAAUCUCACCAUCAUCACUUAAAAAAAAAGUUAUAUAGUUGAGGCCAUCCUUAUAAGAAAACAGGGGUACUAGAUUUUUGGACUUGCUUUUUUGGUAACACUAAUCAUUUAUCAUGUGAGUUAAUUAACAUCUAGACAAAGACAUAUAUGAACAUAUUAUCUUGUUACUUUGAUAUCCUACUUUUUUUUUCCAUACAAUUAAAGCAAUUUAAUUUUUUAUUAAUCACAUGUAGUUUGUACUAGUGAUAUAAGCAAUAUUUUUUCUAAACAAAUCCCAUUGUAGCCUUGUGCAUAAAAGGUUCUUAGCACCCGUGCAAUUUUAUCACUUUGUACAAU